AUUGAACGCUGGCGGCAUGCCUUACACAUGCAAGUCGAACGGCAACGGGUCCUUCGGGAUGCCGACGAGUGGCGAACGGGUGAGUAAUAUAUCGGAACGUGCCCAGUAGUGGGGGAUAACUGCUCGAAAGAGCAGCUAAUACCGCAUACGACCUGAGGGUGAAAGGGGGGGAUCGCAAGACCUCUCGCUAUUGGAGCGGCCGAUAUCAGAUUAGCUAGUUGGGGGGGUAAAGGCCUACCAAGGCAACGAUCUGUAGUUGGUCUGAGAGGACGACCAGCCACACUGGGACUGAGACACGGCCCAGACUCCUACGGGAGGCAGCAGUGGGGAAUUUUGGACAAUGGGCGCAAGCCUGAUCCCGCAAUGCCGCGUGCAGGAAGAAGGUCUUCGGGUUGUAAACUGCUUUUGUCAUGGAAGAAAUCUUCUGGGCUAAUACCCCGGGAGGAUGACGAUACCUGAAGAAUAAGCACCGGCUAACUACGUGCCAGCAGCCGCAGUAA
rnacentral:rRNA from 1 species